rnacentral:lncRNA from 1 species
UUUUUAGUGGAGAGUAUCUUUGGAAGUUUUCCUUAGCAGGACUCUUCCCAUAUGGAUGAUGAUGCACAGACUAUGCCUCCACCUGAAUUAUCAUAGAAGUAAGGAGAUAGGGUGGUACAAAUCUGAUGAAGGAAGCUGGUGUUUGAGUCAAGCCAUGUCAGUCAAUUUCCUUCCUUAGAUCAGAGCUGGGAUCUCUGAAGUGUAUACCACACUGAGCUUCCUGCAGUCAUAAAACUGGAUCUGCCACUGUCAUUCCCCUGUAGCAGAAAUGAGAAAAAUGGUAAUAAGUGUAAAUUUUUGUGGCUGUCAGUUCUAGUUUUUCUGGGGGGGAAACACCUAAUAAUGCAACCACUUAGAGUUUUUUGUAUGAAAUAAUUAGGAAGUGUGCGUGUGUUAUCUUUGAGUAUUGCUACCCAUAUAUGGCAUGUUGUUAAAAUGCUUUUUUUGGUUUGCUGAGCUGGGUAUCACAGCACUACACUAGGGGAAAACCAGCGUAACCCACUUUGACUUAGGAUGGCCAGUUUCACUCAUUAAGGCUGCUACUUUGUUUUUAUUUUGCUCUAAGCACAUACCUGGGGUGGAUCUUCUGAUAGCAAACCUAAUGUUUUUACAUUAGGAGACUGGUAGGUAGGAUGUUUGCAGUCCGUGUACAGCCUGUAAGGGUUUUAGAAUGAAGAGUAAAUAACAUGAUAUUGAAAUUCUUGUGAGACAUUUAUAGUUUAAUUUAAAACAAAAAUUAAAGCAG